CGUUUUUAUAAUUUAAAAUAGAGGACAAAAUAGCGUACUUUUGCCAUUUAAUAGCUUUUUAUUAGUGUAAAGCACUGCUUGGAAAAUAUGUGAUGUGUGGGUGAUGACGCUUAAGGAAAAAUCACCGACUAGUAUUUUUUAGUUGUACGCUGCUGCAGAUCAAGGUAUCGAUAAUGGAGGAAGACUUACAAGCCUGGUUGGAAUCAUUGUUUCAGC
rnacentral:misc_RNA from 1 species